AUGCCUGCAGCCGCUGGCCUCUCUCCCCCCGGGUGCUCAAAGAAAACCAGCAGCGCCCCGGAGAGGAGAAAGAGGGUCCCCCGUCCUUUGGGGCCGCGCGGGACCCGGGUGCGGGGGAUAGGCCCCCCACCAUCCAUUUCCCAAAAGUCGCCGCAGAUGUGCGGCCACCGGGAGUCACGUAGUGUGCGGCGAGCGUCGGAGCUCGGAGAGGCCUGGGCGGGGGUGACCGGGCGAAGCCAGAGUGCAGAGGCUUCUCACGAAAGGGGAAGCUCCUUGCGGGGGUGCAGCUUUCGGCCGAAAUUUAGCUCCGCAGGAGCUUGGGAUGUUUGCUGUUCUCCCCUCGCCUUUAGUUUCAUUUAUUCUCUUCCAAAGAGCAUGUUCCUUCCCCGGAUGUUGGGUGUUUUCCAUCCUCCCUCAAAAAGGAUACGCCGGGAAAGGAACAUGCAGAUCGUUGAACAUUCUUUGGUUGGAGUCUGAGGAAGGCUCAUCUUGACGCUAAGGAGACUCGCGUUUUCGGGGAGUGUAAAAUUUGCAAAAUCAGGAUGUUUCCCCGCCCCAUCUCUCUUGAAGACAACUCUCUCACUCCCCGACCCCCGAUACCAGCUGUCUGCUGCGCCAAAGCUUGAGGAGCCCAGGCCUGGAGUCUUUGGCGGUUAAGAGUACGUAGAGAGAUUUCACAAGAUUCAGCUGUGAUGGUGGUGCUUGGGGGCGAGAGAGAAAGGACUAGAAGUCCUGAGGCGGAAGGGAGUGGCUUUCGAUUGAAACAAAGCUCGAGAUGACCCCAGAGGGGAAGCCUCUGUGGCACCACCCCUUCUCUUUUCUGUCCCAUUCCAGCUUCUAGUCCUCCCUGGUGCUUGUAGUUAACAGUACUGUUUUAGACUUAAACAUUUUGCUAAGUGAGAUCGUGAAGUGUACUCGCCACAUGCAAGCAACAACAACAAGGGGUGUGCGUGUGAAAGAAAACUUUUGGAGGUGAUGUGUUUUUGUGGCAUAGCUUGUGGUUUUGCCAGUGUAUGCUGAUCUCCAAACUGAUGAAGUUGCUUAUGGUAAAUAUUUAUGACUUGUUUGUGUGUCCGUCAUACCUCAAUAAAAUGGUUUUAAAAAAAAAAAGCUACCUUUGG
rnacentral:lncRNA from 9 species